UCGGAAGGAACCAGCUACUAGAUGGUUCGAUUAGUCUUUCGCCCCUAUACCCAAGUCAGACGAUCGAUUUGCACGUCAGAAUCGCUUCGGACUUCCACCAGAGUUUCCUCUGGCUUUAUCCUGCUCAGGAAUAGUUCACCAUCUUUCGGGUCUCAUCGCGUACGCUCUUCCUCCACCCCACUGCAAGCAGUCAGGAUGGGGCCAUGCUGCUCCUGGCCACCGCAGUGACCAGGGUCGCACAUCAGUUCCGAGCGGAUACAUUUACUUUCAUUGCGCCUUUGGGUUUUCAACGCCCAAUGACUCGCGCACACGAUAAACUCCUUGGUCCGUGUUUCAAGACGGGUC
rnacentral:rRNA from 1 species